rnacentral:rRNA from 1 species
CAGUCGCCGCGGUAAUACGGAGGGGGCUAGCGUUGUUCGGAAUUACUGGGCGUAAAGCGCACGUAGGCGGUUUGGUAAGUUAGAGGUGAAAGCCCGGAGCUCAACUCCGGAAUUGCCUUUAAGACUGCCGAGCUAGCAGGUGAGAGAGGUAAGUGGAAUUCCGAGUGUAGAGGUGAAAUUCGUAGAUAUUCGGAAGAACACCAGUGGCGAAGGCGGCAACCUGGUCCAUUACUGACGCUGAGGCGCGAUAGCGUGGGGAGCAAACAGGAUUAGAUACCCGCGUAGUCCCUGUCUCUUAUAC